AGAAAAAAUUCAUUUUUUGAAAAAUAAAAAUUUAGUGAAGUAAAACAUUUUAGUAACUAAAAAAAAAAUCAACCGAGAAAUCGUUAGUAGUGGCGAGCGAAUGCGAUAAAUAGACUGUAUAAUAACUAGAGGCGAAAAAUUAUUUAUGUAAAUAAAUAAAAACCAAAGAAGGUAUAUAAAAGAAUAAGUCCUGUAGAACUCUUAACGAAAGUAGUUAUAAAAUACGAAUAAACAGCGGAUUAUGUUAAAUCUGUUGAUUAAUGAGGAUCUACCCUCAAGUCUAAAAAUUUUCAAUAAUCGAUAGUGUACAAGUACCGUGAGGGAAAGGUGAAAAAGUACUUUAAUAGGGUAAAAUAUAAAGAACCUAAAAUUUAAUGCAUAUAAUCAGUUGGAGCUUUUUAAUUAAAAGUGACAGCGUACCUUUUGCAUAAUGGGCCAGUGAUUUUUUUUUUAUAGCAAGCUUAAUAAACAAGAAUUAGUAGGCGUAAAAAAUUUGAUUUUGAAAUCAAAAGAGAAAGUUAUAAAAAAAAGACCCGAAGCUGAGUGAUCUAACCAUGAACAGGUUGAAGAAUAUUGCGGCAACGCAGUUUGGAGGACCGAACCCGUGUCUGUAGAAAAAUACUGGGAUGAUUUGUGGUUAGGAGUGAAAGGCUAAUCAAACUCAGGUAUAGCUGGUUUUCUGCGAAAUAUAUUUUAGUAUAGCCUGCAAGUAAAGUUAAUGUAGGGUAGAGCACUUUUUAUUUAAGGGGGGUCUAAGACCUUACUGAUUAUAGAAAAACUCCGAAUAUGCAUUAAGAUUUUUGUGGAGUCAGACAAUAGGUGCGAAGGUCUAUUGUCAAGAGGGAAACAGCCCAGAGCACCAGUUAAGGCCCCUAAAUAAUUACUAAGUGAUAAAGGAGGUGGGAGUGCAGAAACAAUCAGGAGGUUUGCUUAGAAGCAGCAAUCCUUUAAAGAGUGCGUAAUAGCUCACUGAUCGAGUAAACCUGCGCCGAAAAUGUACGGGACUAAGUAAUUUGCCGAAACUGUGCGAUAUAUUUGAAAUAUAUCGGUAGGGGAGCGUUCUGUUGUAGGUUGAAGUAUUAGCGGAAGCGGAUAUGGACGAAGCAGAAGUGAGAAUGUCGGCUUGAGUAACGAAAAUAUAGGUGAGAAUCCUAUACCCCGAAAACCCAAGGUUUCCUCCGGAAGGCUCGUCCGCGGAGGGUAAGUCAGGACCUAAGGCGAGGCUGAAAAGCGUAGUCGAUGGAUAACGGGUUAAUAUUCCCGUACCAUUAUUUAUUGAUAACGAGGGACGGAGAAGGCUAAGCUGGCCGGAUAUUGGUUACCGGUUUAAGCGUUCGAGAUGUUGAGAAACGGAGAAAACGUUUUGAGUUGAGACGUGAAUACGAGAUGCUACGGCAUUGAAGCAGUGUAUGUCAGACUUCCAAGAAAAGCUCGCAAUGUCAUAAAUAAAUAAUGCCUGUACCAUAACCGACACAGGUGGGUAGGUAGAGUAUACUAAGGGGCGCGAGAUAACUCUCUCUAAGGAACUCGGCAAAAUGACUCCGUAACUUCGGGAGAAGGAGUGCCUUAUUCUAUAAGGUUGCAAUAACAAGAUCCAAGCAACUGUUUACCAAAAACACAGGUCUCCGCUAAGUCGUAAGACGAUGUAUGGGGGCUGACGCCUGCCCAGUGCCAGAAGGUUAAAGAAGUUGGUUAGCAUUUGCGAAGCUGGUAACUGAAGCCCUGGUGAACGGCGGCCGUAACAAUAACGGUCCUAAGGUAGCG
rnacentral:rRNA from 1 species